GGGUACACGAGCGGCGAACGGGUGAGUAACACGUGGGUGAUCUGCCUCGCACUUCGGGAUAAGCCUGGGAAACUGGGUCUAAUACCGGAUAUGACCAGGGACUGCAUGGUUUUUGGUGGAAAGAUUUAUCGGUGCGAGAUGGGCCCGCGGCCUAUCAGCUUGUUGGUGGGGUAAUGGCCUACCAAGGCGACGACGGGUAGCCGGCCUGAGAGGGCGACCGGCCACACUGGGACUGAGACACGGCCCAGACUCCUACGGGAGGCAGCAGUGGGGAAUAUUGCACAAUGGGCGAAAGCCUGAUGCAGCGACGCCGCGUGAGGGAUGACGGCCUUCGGGUUGUAAACCUCUUUCGACAGGGACGAAGCGCAAGUGACGGUACCUGUAGAAGAAGCACCGGCCAACUACGUGCCAGCAGCCGCGGUAAUACGUAGGGUGCGAGCGUUGUCCGGAAUUACUGGGCGUAAAGAGCUUGUAGGCGGUUUGUCGCGUCGUCUGUGAAAACUCACAGCUCAACUGUGAGCUUGCAGGCGAUACGGGCAGACUUGAGUACUGCAGGGGAGACUGGAAUUCCUGGUGUAGCGGUGAAAUGCGCAGAUAUCAGGAGGAACACCGGUGGCGAAGGCGGGUCUCUGGGCAGUAACUGACGCUGAGAAGCGAA
rnacentral:rRNA from 1 species